rnacentral:ncRNA from 1 species
CUGGCUUAUUUAUAACCAGGUGGGGUCAGCAGCGUGAUGAAGGUGAGGGCCAGUUCUUGUUGGCUGAGGUGGGAUCCCAGGGUGUGUCGAGCAAGAAGCCCUGGGCGCAGCACCGGCCCAUCUCACCCACGCUGCCCAGCCGGGGAGGUGGACCAUGAGCGUCCAUGCUAGGACCCGAAAGAUGGUGAACUAUGCCUGGGCAGGGCGAAGCCAGAAGAAACUCUGGUGGAGGUCCGUAAUGGUCCUGGCAUGCAAAUCGGUCUAAGGGUGAAAGGUUAAUUCAACCAUUUAGCAGCUGG